rnacentral:lncRNA from 1 species
UUAUAUUUAAAUUUUUCUUUACCUCUUGCAUUCUAUCUCUUUCCUUCAGUAGCUUUUGUGGAUGUGGUACCAUGUGAAUGAGGCUGGAAAUGAGAAGCUGGAAAAAGACUGCAAGGAGAAGAAAGCAUGUAGGAUCAGCAUGGAGUUUACUUCUUGCUUCUUCACUGCAGCUAUUUUGAGAGUAGGAAAAAGUUGACUUGGAAGACUUGCUCCUCUUGCUGUACAGGCACUGACCCAAGCAGAGCCAGAUGCAGACAGAGCUCAGCUGAAGCCAGGGCAGUGGUGUGUAAGUGUGGAGUUUUUUCCUCUCCUGGACUCACAGUAAGAUCAGAGGUGGAAUUGUGUGCCCGUGGUUGCAACCUAAUUUCAACUGCUUGGUUAGAUGCACUGAACUAUUGUGUAUAUAUGUGGCACAGGGGCUCUGAAGCACUCCUGUGAACUGCUGUCACAGUGUGGAGGAUCUCUACCCCCACCUUCAUCCACAGGCACAGAAAAACAAUCAGUCUCUUGGACUGACAAAGUUGCAGAGGCUAA